rnacentral:lncRNA from 1 species
AACACAUCCAGCCUCAGACUCAGCAACUAUACCCCAGACCAUUUGCAUCAUGCUUGGAGUAUACUGUUAGAAUACAGAAAGGCAGCUGUGUAAAGAAAUAAGGGUCAUGAAAUCUGAUGAAGAGUUAUGAGGUCAUAUACAAGAAGGUGGGAAAAUAAGGAGAUCAUCAGAAAAAAAAAAGACUCAGAAGAAAACUAGUGGUUUUUGUUGCUGUUUUGUGUUGUUUUUAUCAACUCUGUGCCAGCCACUCUGACAAUUCACAGAUGCCAUCUCAUUUGUAAAACCAUCUCAUCUGGUCCCUGGACUUUGGGACUCAUUCUGCUCGACUUGAUCCCUGCUCUGCCCAUUGAUCACAUACACACGUUUACACCUGGCAGAAGAGGAAGAGGAGGCAUGAAGGAAUGGCCUCUUCAGAAUGGAGAAAAGCCUUCCCCAUGAGAACAUGCCUAAGACAGACUGCUGAAGAAGGCGGCAAAUGGAACAGCGCUGAAUCAGCCUGGUCAUCCCAGUCAAGCCUCCAGACAUGUAAGCACCCUCCUCUGAUCUGCAGAGCUGCCUGGCCCAAAUACUGUUGACCACUCUUGAGUAAGCCCCACCAAGAUCAGCUGAGAACAGUAGAACUGACCAGAUGACUCUAACCUCAUGAAUAAAUCCAAGUGUUUUU